rnacentral:rRNA from 1 species
UACGUAGGGUGCGAGCGUUGUCCGGAAUUAUUGGGCGUAAAGGGCUCGUAGGCGGUUUGUCGCGUCGGGAGUGAAAACACACAGCUUAACUGUGUGCUUGCUUCCGAUACGGGCAGACUAGAGGUAUGCAGGGGAGAACGGAAUUCCUGGUGUAGCGGUGAAAUGCGCAGAUAUCAGGAGGAACACCGGUGGCGAAGGCGGGUUGCUGGGCUGAUACUGACGCUGAUGCGCGAAAGCCAGGGGAGCGAACGGG